rnacentral:rRNA from 1 species
AGAGUUUGAUCCUGGCUCAGAAUCAACGCUGGCGGCGUGCCUCAGACAUGCAAGUCGAACGAUUAAACUUUCCUUCGGGAAAGAUAUAAAGUGGCGCACGGGUGAGUAACACGUAGGUAAUGUGCCUUUGGGUGGGGAAUAACUUAGGGAAACUUAAGCUAAUACCGCAUAAUGCGAUAACUUCUUCGGAAGAUUUUGUUAAAGAUUUAUCGCCUGAAGAGCAGCCUGCGGCAGAUUAGCUAGUUGGUAAGGUAACGGCUUACCAAGGCUACGAUCUGUAUCCGACCUGAGAGGGUGGUCGGACACACUGACACUGAAUAACGGGUCAGACUCCUACGGGAGGCAGCAGUCGGGAAUUUUGGGCAAUGGGCGAAAGCCUGACCCAGCAACGCCGCGUGAAGGAUGAAGUCUUUCGGGAUGUAAACUUCGUAAGAAUAGGAAGAAUAAAUGACGGUACUAUUUGUAAGGUCCGGCUAACUACGUGCCAGCAGCCGCGGUAAUACGUAGGGACCAAGCGUUGUUCGGAUUUACUGGGCGUAAAGGGCGCGUAGGCGGCGUGACAAGUCACUUGUGAAAUCUCCGAGCUUAACUCGGAACGGUCAAGUGAUACUGUUGUGCUAGAGUGCAGAAGGGGCAAUCGGAAUUCUUGGUGUAGCGGUGAAAUGCGUAGAUAUCAAGAGGAACACCUGAGGUGAAGACGGGUUGCUAGGCUGACACUGACGCUGAGGCGCGAAAGCUAGGGUAGCAAACGGGAUUAGAUACCCCGGUAGUCCUAGCCCUAAACGAUGAAUACUUGGUGUCUGGAGUUUUUAUUCUCCGGGUGCCGUCGCUAACGUUUUUAGUAUCCGCC